CUCCGGGGGCUGGGAGGUUCGACUCGAGCGAAGCGAGAGAACGUUGCGCCAGCAACGGCCCGCAGGGCGAGCCACGAAGUGGCGAGUAAUCCUCUAUCACCGACCA
rnacentral:sRNA from 1 species